rnacentral:lncRNA from 1 species
GAAGUUACAUAAGCUGACCAACUUUGCCCUGCUAGAGAGUACAAAACCAGCUGUGCUCAGAGUCACUGCCUAACCCUAUGCUCUACUGUUUCUCAUCACAUCUAGAGGGAGAAGAGACUCACAAAGACAAUAACUUGGCUGAGACCUCAGCCUCUUGGAGGUAGGAGGGCCACCUUUAUCCAGAGGCGCCUUCAUUCCUGAGCCUUCUAAGAUACUUGGCCACAAAGACAUCAUGAAGAGGAAAAAGAAUUUCAAGUGCAUUCUAAGAGCCAUAUCCAUCCUCUUUCUGUGUAGUCAGGGAGCCUGCACUCAAAAGACCCAUCCAGGAAGAAAGAUUUGAUCUCUUGGGCAGCAUCUACUUCCCAUGGAGACGCCUGUUUGAGUCGAAGCUCUGGUAUGAAAAGCAGAAAUGUGCAGUGUUACACAAGUCCAUGUAUGAAGACUUGGAUUAUUUGUUGCAGAGAAAGUGCUCCAUCAACAUUAGUUGUUAUCUAUAAGAGAGAAUGAAAGUUCAACAUGGUUGACAUCAUAUGAGGAAAGUGUAGGUAUCAAAGCUCUCCUUGAAAGGCACAAUCCUCUUGGUUAUAAAUAGUGAAAGAUAACUAGUGAUUCACAUUACUCAAGC